CUGCAAGGGGUCCCGCGAGAGCGAGGUGUCGAUGAUCCGCCCAUCCUCCAAGCUGCCCUGUGGGGAGACAUUGGACACACGCGGGCUCCCGGCAGGUGACGUUUCUCUGAAAGCCCCAGUUCCCGGCACCUGCCACCUUUGGUUUUGUGAAAGUGGAUGUUCAGCUGAACAGAGCUUGGCUGCGUGAGCCCUGCGGGCCCAGCGAGCGGGCCGUGAGGCGAGACCCUGCGUUGAUUGUGCGUUACAUCUCCCGAGUGCUUUGGGGUACAGUGUAUGGCAGUGGCCGGGGUGGGCUGCAACAGGGGUCUGGCAGUGCCGGCUGUCCCAGAUCACCCCCUUGCGGCCAGGCAGGGCACCAUCGAAGCCCUACCUUGGCUUCCCUCCACCCAGGGAAGGAACAAGUCCAAGCAGGUUUUCAGGAACAGCUUUCAGAUGAUUAGAACUGGGGGUUACAUGCUGACUCUCCCCCCACCCCCAAGCACCUUCCAGCCUUGGCGGGCAGACGUGAGGUGGAGCAGAGCAUCUGGGGCAUGCUGAGCUUUAAGGCACCAAGCUCCCAGCACCAGAAGGUGGCAGCAAAUCAUCAACAAUUCCUCCCUUUCCACCUAAUGGCAUGUUUAAGGCCCCUGACCCUAACCGUGUUUCGGGCAUCCGAAGCAGCCGCAGAUGGGGAGGGACGAUCUAGUGCUUGGGGCCCAGGACACCGGGGUAAGUCCUCGGCCAUGCUGCUGCCCUGUGGGUGAUGUUAGGCAAACGAGCUCAUCGCCCUGGGCCUCAGCUCCUCCGUGCCGGGGCUAACGCUCCUUCCUGGCUGGAGGCAGGGACCGCAUCUCACUCCGUGUCUGGGCAACUCACGGCGCGAUGGGGCCCCUGAGCUCAGCGGGGCCCCCCAGACGCUACGGGAAGACAAAUAAUCAUUUACACAGCGGUGGCAGUACCUAAGGCCACAGCCAGAUUGGGCCCUGCCGGGCUGGGUGCUGCCCAGGGCCCUGCUCCAAAGAGCUCGGAGUCUGACAGGAGAAAUUCCCCACCAGAAAGAAAGGUCCGGUGCUGGUGUGGCCAUGCUGGGACCCCAUGGCAGGGUCGGAGCCAGGACGCAGAACUUGGCAGGCCAUUUCCACCACACGCACAGCCCCAGCUGGCAAGAGGCGGGUCCCUGGGGAGGAGGUUUGGGCGGAUGCCUGUGAAUGGGGCUGGGGCGUAACCUCCGUCCAUGGCUCCUGAGCGCAUCGCAGCACCUGCCGGGCCAGGGCCGAGGUGGGCUCCUCUGCUCUGGGGCGUGCAGAACAGGCCCGUGAGAUGAUGCAGCGUGUGCUGUCUGGCCCAGCAGGGCCACGCCCGGGUCCAGCCCCACCAUAGUGCACAUCCGCCCAGUUCGUGACUGACCGGUGCCCUUGAGAACUGGGGCCUCGCCGAGCCGUGGCCUGGCUUGAAGAACACUGGACUAGCUAAAGGGGGCCAGGCUGCCCGCAUGCAUGUGAAUGCAGCUCGGCCACUCCCGCUGGCCGCUUCUGUCCGGGGAAGGCCCCUCUGCCCCACUUGGACUGUGGCCACACAAGGGUGGGGAUGGGCUCGCACGCUCGGUAACAGUCCCCCCCAGGCACCAUGGCUGUAAAGCACCGACCCUGGUGCAGAGCUGCCGGGUCUGAGGGACCCUGGUGUGGCCAGCGCGUGUGCUCUGAUGGGGCCAUGCAGGCUGCGUUCGUUCUGUGCAGGGGCAGCGCCGGGGGCCCUGCUCAGGAGGGUGCUAGGAGCUGUACAAGCGUUUCCAGCUGCUCCUCUCACCAGGGACAGCCCUAGCGAGCUGCACCCCCCAGUCGUCCCGCUCAGCAGUGCCAGCUCUAGGGCUGGGCGGAGAAGCCAGCUCCGGUUGGGCUCAGCUGAAGGCUCGUGCUCCGGCCUGUGGGCACCAGCUUUGCCAGGCCAAGCAGCGUCCAGCUGGGAGCCUGCCCGUCUCCCUGCAGCAUGGGGGCGUGGGGCCACCCAGCACCACAAGACGCCGCGGGGGGCCAGAGCGUGGGCUGGGCUGUGGGGCUGGCUCCCAGGGCGACGGGAUCGGCAUGCCAGCUAUUCCUCCGCCGGGACGCUGCUCCCAUUGUCUGGGCCACGCCUGUCAUUCCCCGGCUGCGGCCCCGCCACCUGCACCCACAUACCAGCCCCCGUUGCCGUGAUGUGGCGAAGACGGGCUGGCGGCUCGGGCCGUGAGGCUGUAAUGGGAUUACGGGAGCUGGGGCGGCUCGGGGCUGCGCCCCCUCCCCUGCCCAGAGACAAUGUGAGAUGGAUGGGCUGGUGGGAAACCGGCCCCAGCCUCCAGAGCGGGGGGGGGGGGGGGGGGGCGCUCCGGCAGUGGGGUCCCAGCAGACCCCUGAGCAAAGGCUGCUGCCAGGAAGGGACACAGGAUCGGGCCCUGUCACCUCACAGCCGCUGCAGCCAUGGCUUAUAACAAAGUGCCAGAAUCAAAGCAGGAGUCCUGGCCCCCUACAACACCUCCCCCUCCCCGAGC